CACAUGCAAGUCGAACGGUAACAGGUCUUCGGAUGCUGACGAGUGGCGAACGGGUGAGUAAUGCAUCGGAAUCUGCCUUUUUGUGGGGGGAUAACGUAGGGAAACUUACGCUAAUACCGCAUACGACCUACGGGGUGAAAAGUGGGGGGACCGCAAGGCCUCACGCAGAAAGAUGAGCCGACGACCGAUUAGCUAGUUGGUGGGGUAAAGGCCCACCAAGGCGACGAUCGGUAGCUGGUCUGAGAGGAUGAUCAGCCACACUGGGACUGAGACACGGCCCAGACUCCUACGGGAGGCAGCAGUGGGGAAUCUUAGACAAUGGGGGAAACCCUGAUCUAGCCAUGCCGCGUGAUCGAUGAAGGCCUUAGGGUUGUAAAGAUCUUUCAGAUGGGAAGAUAAUGACGGUACCAUCAGAAGAAGCCCCGGCUAACUCCGUG
rnacentral:rRNA from 1 species